UCAGUGGGUCACCUGUGCAGACCUGGCCAGGAACGAAGUUUGACUCAUGUGAGCCUAGCACUCCCUGAGUCCAGGCGGCGGAUGGUGGAGCCCCGGAUGGGGGCGGCUGGAAGGGAGACGCCGCAUCCUAGGGGUCAGAGGAGCUCCCAGGAAAACCCAGGUUCAGGUGGUGAUGCCACAGACAUCCGUGGCCCGGAAGACAGGAGAGGGCACGUAUGUUUGGAGCUCAGGACAGUGGAACAUCCACAUUUGGAGAGCUUGCUGCAUUGCUGGAGACUCUGUGCACACAUUGGAGCUGACUUGUGAGCAAGCAGACAGAUCAAGUGCCCACCACCUGUUGGUCCUGCUCCUGCCUUCAGAGCCACAUCCUUCCCCUUCCUCUCGAACCUAGAAUCCACGGAGGGCACACCCAGGGUCUCCCCGUCACUCAGCGGCACGGGGGCAGGAGGAAGGGGGUCCCUCUGGGACAUGGAUUCUGGCACCUUCAGCAUCCUGGUCCCCUUCUGCUCUGGCCAUGCCUCCUUGUAAUUUCCCAGGUCUAACCCAUGCGUGGAUGGACUGGCAGGGCCAUUGCCUUCGUGCAGUGAGCACUUGGUCUAACUCCAGGAGCACAGAUUGCUGUUUUUCAAACAAGCCAGGAACAUUUAAAGCUCCGGGGUCAGGUUUGGACUGAAACAAUGUAAGCAGUUUUUGUGAUUUUCCAGGACAGGUUAAGACGCACCAAGUCCCAGGAGCGGGGCGUCGUGGCCCAGGCAAGGAGGACCUGAGCAUGGACGCCACCAGGUGGCGGUCUCGGGUCCAGGGCCGCAGGAGAACGUGCACCCCCUGUUGGCAAUGGGUCAGGAUGGGACCCGGGCUCGCCUCCUGCAUGGCCCCUGCUCAGAGAAGAGGGCCCCAAGCUUCCUGCUCUGAGCCCAGGAGCUGAAGCCUCUGAGGACCCCCACAGGCCCUGCGCGGAGGGCAGCGACUCCUCAUCUUCUGGCCUACGUGUGUCUUUGGGAGGUGAUCUCAGAGCUCUUGCUGGAGAAUUUGCCUUUUCCUGUGCUCACCCCCUGCUUUUGCUCUUUCCUGGACUGCAAGUGGCAGAGCUUAAGCUGCAGCUUCCUUAUAGCUGUUGCCUCUGCAGUUCCUGCUCAUGGUCCCCAGGGAGCAGUGGGCUUUGGGAAGGCCUUGCCAGCUUCCAGAACACCGACAUCAGGCAGGAGAGCAAGUACCUGGCAUACCUCCUCUCCACUGUUGUUAUUCCUUCUGGGAAAAAAAAAAAAAAAAUCAUUACUGUGUUUAGACAGAAUUUACUAGGACUUCGAACCGAUGAUGCAAAAAGUGUUCACCUCAAAUUCUAAGCAAUGGCUGGUUCUCCGUGCAGAGCAUGGCUUGCUAAAUGGUGGACACCAGAACUGACCACACCAGCUCUGCUGAAUUCCAGGGUGCGAGGUGAGUCUACAGAGAGCAUUUGCACCUCAAUGCAGUCUGGACCACAGGACAGUGAGUCCAUGGGAGGCAGGCUCUGUGUUACAGCCCCACAGAGCUGAGGCAAAGCAGAGAACAAAGAGGCUUUGACUUGCAAGAAGCAAACUCUCUGCCUCUCUGACUCCCCCACCCCCACCCCCCAGGAAAUGGGGAACCUUCCUCGAGAUAAGCAGCAGUAACAUGCUGACGCUGUUCUCACAUCAAAGGUGUGCCGGCAUCCAUGCCUGAAGGGGUCGUGGUGAUGCUGGGUCCUCAGCCGGUCUCUGUUUGGGGCCAUACUUGUUACAGGGCGCCAGGGGGAGAGCCCACAGGAGAGCCCACUUCAGACCCUCCUCCUUCUGCAGCAAUGCAGCUAAGGUCAAGGGUGAACCAGCAGUAAAGAGAUGAAUACAGGGAGCAGAGGUGAUCUGCGAGCUCAGCCCAUGUUGUAUUUGGCCUUGGUCAAUGGCUGAUGGAAAAGUCAGUGUUGGUGUGAAUAAAACCUGCUUCAGACAGCUGUGAAGGUGCUGU
rnacentral:lncRNA from 9 species